rnacentral:rRNA from 1 species
GUCUAUGGCCAUACCACCCUGAUCUCAUCUGAUCUCGGAAGCAAGCAGGGUCGGGCCUGGUUAGAAUUUGGAUGGGAAAGCAUUCUAUUUAGUACUAACUGCCCAUAAGUAGUUUGAUAGGUUCUCAUUGUCU